CGUGGGUGCGUCGGGAGCCGAUAGAAGGUGCUGCAUGGCUGUCGUCAGCUCGUGUCGUGAGAUGUUGGGUUAAGUCCCGUAACGAGCGCAACCCUUGUCCCUAGUUGCCAGCACUUCGGGUGGGAACUCUAAGGAGACUGCCGGUGAUAAACCGGAAGAAGGUGGGGAUGACGUCAAAUCAUCAUGGCCCUUAUGGGCUGGGCUACACACGUGCUACAAUGGUCGGUACAGAACGUCGCGAACCCCCGAGGUGGAGCCAAUCGCACAAAACCGGUCGUAAUCCGGAUCGCAGUCUGCAACUCGACUGCGUGAAGUCGGAAUCGCUAGUAAUCCCGGAUCAGCAUGCCGCGGUGAAUACCUUCCCGGGCCUUGU
rnacentral:rRNA from 1 species